UACGUAGGGUGCUAGCGUUGUCCGGAUUUAUUGGGCGUAAAGAGCGUGUAGGCGGCCAGGUAGGUCUGCUGUGAAAACUCGAGGCUCAACCUCGAGACGUCGGCGGAAACCAUCUGGCUAGAGUCCGGAAGAGGAGAGUGGAAUUCCUGGUGUAGCGGUGAAAUGCGCAGAUAUCAGGAAGAACACCCGUGGCGAAGGCGGCUCUCUGGGCAGUAACUGACGCUGAGGAGCGAAAGCGUGGGGAGCGAACAGG
rnacentral:rRNA from 1 species